UACGAAGGGUGGCAAACGUUGCUCGGAAUCAUUGGGCGUAAAGGCGCAAGCGUAGGCGGCCCCAAAAGUUGGAUGUGAAAUCCCUCGGCUCAAACCGAGGAGCGUGACCAUCCAAAACUGUGGGGCUUUGAAGUACUGAAGAGGAUUCGCGGAAUUCCGUGGUGGUAAGCGGGUAGUCAAAAUUGGCGCAGGAUAAUCAGGAGGGAACACCGAUUGGGCGAAAGGGCAAGGUCCUCGUGGGGACCGAACC
rnacentral:rRNA from 1 species